GGUUUUUUAGUUUAAAUAAAAUGCUGGUUUUGUAAACCAGAGAUAGCACUUGUUGUUAUAAACCU
rnacentral:tRNA from 1 species